UACGGAGGGGGCGAGCGUUAUUCGGAAUUAUUGGGCGUAAAGGGCGCGUAGGCGGCUCUUUAAGUCAAAGGUGAAAUCCCUCGGCUCAACUGAGGAACUGCCUUUGAAACUGAGGAGCUUGAGUCCGGGAGGGGGUAGCGGAAUUCCCAGUGUAGCGGUGAAAUGCGUAGAUAUCAGGAGGAACACCGAUGGCGAAGGCAGCUCGCUGGGACGGUACUGACGCUGAGGCGCGAAAGCGUGGGGAGCGAACAGG
rnacentral:rRNA from 1 species